GCGGUGGAGUAUGUGGUUAAUUCGAUGCAACGCGAAGAACCUACCUGGUCUUGACAUCCCGGAGACCCUUAGGAACUAGGGGUGCUUCCAUCUGGAAGAAUCUGGAGACAGGUGCUGCAUGGCUGUCGUCAGCUCGUGUCGUGAGAUGUUGGGUUAAGUCCCGCAACGAGCGCAACCCUUGCCUUUAGUUGCCAGCAGUUCGGCUGGGCACUCUAAAGGGACUGCCGGUGUUAAACCGGAGGAAGGUGGGGAUGACGUCAAGUCCUCAUGGCCUUUAUGACCAGGGCUACACACGUACUACAAUGGCCGAUACAAAGGGCAGCGACACUGCGAGGUGAAGCCAAUCCCGUAAAAUCGGUCUCAGUCCGGAUUGGAGUCUGCAACUCGACUCCAUGAAGUUGGAAUCGCUAGUAAUCGUGGAUCAGCAUGCCACGGUGAAUACGUUCCCGGGCCUU
rnacentral:rRNA from 1 species